rnacentral:tRNA from 1 species
GCCGGGGUGGCGGAAUAGGCAGACGCAACGGACUUAAAAUCCGUCGGUUAGAAAUAACCGUACCGGUUCGAUUCCGGUCCUCGGCACCA